rnacentral:rRNA from 1 species
AGCGAACGCUGGCGGCAGGCCUAACACAUGCAAGUCGAACGAACCUUUCGGGGUUAGUGGCGGACGGGUGAGUAACACGUGGGAACGUGCCUUUAGGUUCGGAAUAACUCAGGGAAACUUGUGCUAAUACCGAAUGUGCCCUUCGGGGGAAAGAUUAAUCGCCUUUAGAGCGGCCCGCGUCUGAUUAGCUAGUUGGUUGAGGUAAUGGCUCACCAAGGCGACGAUCAGUAGCUGGUCUGAGAGGAUGAUCAGCCACAUUGGGACUGAGACACGGCCCAAACUCCUACGGAAGGCAGCAGUGGGGAAUCUUGCGCAAUGGGCGAAAGCCUGACGCAGCCAUGCCGCGUGAAUGAUGAAGGUCUUAGGAUUGUAAAAUUCUUUCACCGGGGACGAUAAUGACGGUACCCGGAGAAGAAGCCCCGGCUAACUUCGUG